rnacentral:rRNA from 1 species
AGUGAACGCUGGCGGUAGGCCUAACACAUGCAAGUCGAACGGCAGCACAGUAAGAGCUUGCUCUUACGGGUGGCGAGUGGCGGACGGGUGAGGAAUACAUCGGAAUCUACUUUUUCGUGGGGGAUAACGUAGGGAAACUUACGCUAAUACCGCAUACGACCUACGGGUGAAAGCAUGGGAUCUUCGGACCUUGCGCGAUUGAAUGAGCCGAUGUCGGAUUAGCUAGUUGGCGGGGUAAAGGCCCACCACGGCGACGAUCCGUAGCUGGUCUGAGAGGAUGAUCAGCCACACUGGAACUGAGACACGGUCCAGACGCCUACGGGAGGCAGCAGUGGGGAAUAUUGGACAAUGGGCGCAAGCCUGAUCCAGCCAUACUGCGUGGGUGAAGAAGGCCUUCGGGUUGUAAAGCCCUUUUGUUGGGAAAGAAAAGCAGCAGGUUAAUACCCCGCUGUUCUGACGGUACCCAAAGAAUAAGCACCGGCUAACUUCGUG